rnacentral:lncRNA from 1 species
GAUCAGGUAAUGCAGUUUGUUGAGCCAAGUCAGCAUUUGUAAAUGACUCAAUUCGACUGGUUAAAAGAUACACCAAACCCAAUAGAAAAGAAUUCCAGAAGACUGCCAUGGCCACAGCAAUAGGAUUUGCUAUCAUGGAAUUUGUUGGCUUCUUUGUGAAACUGAUCCAUAUCCCUAUUAAUAACGUUAUUGUGGGUGGCUGA